GCCCGGUUAGCUCAAUCGGUAGAGCGUGAGACUCUUAAUCUCAAGGUUGCGGGUGAGUGGCAAUUAAAAAAAUUCAUAUCAACGAUCAAAAUACUAAUCCUGUACGUCUAGGUUCGACCCCCGCAUCGGGCU